rnacentral:rRNA from 1 species
UACGUACUGUGCGAACGUUAUUCGGAAUCACUGGGCUUAAAGGGUGCGUAGGCGGUCAUUUAAGUAGGGUGUGAAAUCCCCCGGCUCAACCGGGGAACUGCGCUCUAAACUGGAUGGCUUGAGUAAGAUAGGGGUGUGCGGAACUUCCGGUGGAGCGGUGAAAUGUGUUGAUAUCGGAAGGAACACCAGUAGCGAAAGCGGCACACUGGGUCUUAACUGACGCUGAGGCACGAAAGCUAGGGUAGCGAAC